AUGUGAUUGUAUGAUUUUUUUAAAGUAAAUUCAGAAAUUUCAAAUGCACGCCACUGUCCCCGUGGGAAACGUAAACACAACGCCUUUUAGUUUUGAGGUUAUCCCUGUUACAAACAAAGCAAGCGUACUGGGAUAUACAUGGCCAUUCUAGUCUAUAUGAUUUCAGUGACUGUGCCAAUGUCAAUAAGGGUGGUUUUGUAAAAUCAGCCUCUAUGUCGCAUCUAUAUUAAUCUAUGCUUAAACAAAGCAAGUCCAGUCCGAGUUCGAGUGAUUAACAUGGAACUCUUUCAAUUUAUUUCCAACUAAAUAUCGUCAUUCUCAAAUUAUUAACACAGAAUACCAUACAGUAAGGACAGCUUUUGAAAUGCCCAUAAGAAAUACACGUAACGGACUAGAACAACAAUAAUCGGUCAGUUGGGUAAGGACAUGACCUUGAAUUUUGGUUUGAAACUGUAGUGGCAAACUAAAUAAAAUUUACCACCAUGUCAACAUUGUGCGUCAAAUUUGACAUUGUAGAUGUUUGGUAUUUAAUAUUGUAACUGUGAUUUAUUAUUUUUACUGAAUAGAAAAUGCGCGUUGGAACAAAUAAAUAGAAUAAAUAAUCUUGUGGAAAAUGUACACAGGGAACAGAGAUGCGGUAUUCUGGUAUGGACACAAUUACGAGGACUGCUUUUGUAUAUCGCCCACAUGAAGGGCUGCAACAUAAAAGGUGAAUAAGCCCUCCACUCACGUUCCAACGCCGCAGUACAAUUGUGUUGGAUACGACGAAAUUGAAGUGUUUUUGAACGUCUGUGUAUGUGAUGAAGCAAAUGAGUUGGAUGUGGACGGUUGGUGAACAAGUCUGUCUGCAGCAGUACAAUCGUGUUGUAUUGGAUGGAAAUUUGAUCAUGUGUGGACACGACUCGACAUUGUAUGUUAUUCAAACCGUGAGAGUACAUUUUCGUCCUUUCGUCGGACAUGUUGUCAUCACGAUCGCAAAUUUUUAACUGCAAGGUCGUAACGUGUGUGUGUACUGCUGCUUUUUAAUAGAAUUGUACAACAGUUGCAUCCAAUACAAUCGUACUGCAGCGUUGGAAUGUGAAUGGCCAGCUUGAGGAUUACCAAAUGGUGGAUCAUCAUCAAAGGCGUUGAAGUAACAGAGAAGUUUAUCAUAUAUGAUGACAUUAGGUGCAACGGCAAAAUAACUACAUGUUUCUCAGAUUUCGACGGAAAUUUAAAGAAGCCCCUGAAGCAGGUUUUUUCAUUGUGCCUGCAAUCACGAGGUGGUCUACCACUGCAGUCCAUGUUACUAUGAAAAGGUUCUCAGAAUCACUUCACUAAUUUAACUAACAACAAAAAUUCAACCAAAAACAUCAAAGUACUUUUCCCAGGGAAGAUGAAAACAACAGCGUUCACUUUCUGACUCUUCAAACGGUUCACACUUGGCGAAAAUUGAAGGCAUUGACAAAAUACGAGUAGUAGUUGAUAUGUUUAUGCUGAAAUUAACUUGAUAAAGUGAUAGACUUUUAUUAAUGAAUAAAAUAAAUAUAAGCACAA